UUUUGGUUUGCCUGGCACAGAACGGAAGACUCCUCCCAGCGCACCUGAGGCAGAUCUCAUCAGGAGAGAUGCUGGAGGAACACGGAACGCGCUCCAACACACCGGGAGCGCAUUUUGAUAAUGAAUGGCUGAGACACAAGGAGGAAAGAGGAGCGGAUAGAGAGCGAAAAAGAAACGUUGGGGACGCUACAUGAGUGCAGGACAGCGGAGCCGCAGCCGGAGGACAGCUGUGGAUGUUUGGUGGAGAACAAUGAAACAUUGUGGGACGUGCAGGACCCCGAGCAGAGCUAUGAUGCUGUUCCUGGUAACGUUAGGUACUUCAAGCUUUACAAUAAGAAUUCAAAGAAGAGAAGGACUACAGCCACAUCCCAGAACUGUCCUGCAGAAAAGGCUGUUGUCCAGACUGGAGUGGUGGGCUAUCAGUGAGCUCAGGAGACCAGAUGAUCCUAGGCAUCCAGGAGUUGUGUGUAAUAUCACCACCCUCAGAAGUGUCGUUGCAGACAAGUCAGCAGAGAAAUACAGCUUGCCUUAGGUGAAAUGUAUACAUAACCCAAUUACUCAGUUUUUGUAUUGUUGGUGAUGAAAAACAGAUCCUGACCUGUG